rnacentral:rRNA from 1 species
AUACGAAAGGGGCUAGCGUUGUUCGGAAUUACUGGGCGUAAAGCGCACGUAGGCGGCAUUGUAAGUUGGGGGUGAAAUCCCGGAGCUCAACUCCGGAACUGCCUCCAAAACUACAAAGCUCGAGGAUGUGAGAGGAGAGUGGAAUUCCAAGUGUAGAGGUGAAAUUCGUAGAUAUUUGGAAGAACACCAGUGGCGAAGGCGACUCUCUGGCACAUUUCUGACGCUGAGGUGUGAAAGCGUGGGGAGCAAACAGGAUUAGAAACCCUAGUAGUCC